CUGGAUUCUUUAAAAAAAUAUUGUAAUUAAAGAUAUUUUUUUUCCCCAGAAAGUUCUGAAGUUGUAAUCUUUUAGACAUCCUUCCAUUGUAUAAGUGCAUUAUUUACUUGCAUUUUCAAGAAUACUUUUUAUAAAGUUGAAGGAACAAUUUUUAUUCCAUUCACUGAUUAUGUUUAAUUUUUUUUUUUCUGAACAGCACAAUGUACAUGUUAUUUU